UUUUAAGGGGGUGCCUACUUUAAUGGCUGAGAUUAUACCCUAUGAACCUGUACGGAUAAUGCCGUCGAAGGGAUUUAAGUU
rnacentral:ncRNA from 1 species